rnacentral:lncRNA from 1 species
ACAGUGCUACAGUCUUCUGUCUCCAUACAUAGGACGUCAAUAGCUGUCAGGGAGAGGCCCCUAGCACAGUGCUACAGUCUUCUGCCCCACUUACAUAGCACGUCAGUAGCUGUCAGGGAGAGGCCCCUAGCACAUAGCUAUCAACAGGUAGGGGAGUGUUUCCCAUGCAAUGCUGUUCUAAGCUAAUACCAGUUACAAAUGACAAUAGACACAAUGGACUGAGAAACUUGCAGUUUACAGCUGUGCAGGUGUCCCCCCACUCAUGUCUUACACCGAGGUCCGUCCACUGUGAUACUAGUGUGUGCUUGCUGGGUGAAGAAGGUUACAUUUUGGUUAACAAGUCAGAUUUUCAAGUGUAAAUGUCUUUUGCAUGUCUUGCUAAUUUGAAGGGAUUUUAGAUUUCACAAUGAAAAUGAUCAAAGUCAGUGAUAAGAAUCUGUAAGACAAGUGUAUGUCCCUCCUGGAGUCAGAGAAACAUCUGGUGCAUGGCUCUUGCUGUAGACAGACAUGCAAGGGUUGUUGACCAGCAUCUCAAGGAUUGCGAGUGUCAGGGAGAAGUUAUCUCCCUUUGACCAGACUCUCUAAUGUCUUGCUAUGGAGAAUGUUAUUCUAGUCAGACAUUUUGAUUUUGUUUUGAUAUAAUGAGUUUUUACUGCCAUAUGCAUUUUAAGGGUACACAUUUCCAUGAAUGAAAUACAUGUAAACAUUAUGUAUUUAGUAAGCUUUAAUCAUUCUUAUGCAACAGAACUUCAGAGGGAAUAUGUUGUGGAUGUUAAGUGAAAGAUUAAGAAUACAUGACACAUUUUUAUUGAUAAUAUCUUCUUUUUAUUCUUUAUGAUCGUCCAACUUCUAAAUGCCUUUCAAGAACUUGAUGUUAGGAUUAGUAAGACAGUAGCACUGUUUAAUGAAACCUUCAAAUAGAUGUAAAUUUCAAAGGAAAAAGUUAUGGUCUGCCCGCUUGCUGAGACUCUAUGAAUGUCUGUUCUAUAUGUCGGUGUGUUUAUAUAGGAUUCUGGCUGGGUGUGGAAAUAUAUAGAUUAUAUUGUGAGUUUCAUUUAGAAGUGAUGUCCACAGAGGGAGAGAACAUAUGGAUGCUGACUUCUGUGUUGUGGGAUCGUGACAGGAAUCCAGCUGAGGAAGGAGUCCGCAUAUACUCUGAAACAUUGGUCCUCACAAUAAAGAAGUUAACGUCCCCAAGUUCUCUCCCUUGUGUAUGUCACAAUUCUACAGUUGCUGGCAGUUACCAGCAUCGUUAUUUUUUCAAUAUCUGGUAAUCUCAUAUAUUCAUCCCUCAGACAACAACACAAUGCAUUUUAUCUGAAUCUCUUUUUAUGUGACAGUUUACAUCAUGAUAAGAUUUUUUUUAAAAACCCAGACUAUUUUACUAAGAUUGAGACAGAGUUUGCUGGUUUGUUUAUCAUAUGUUUGUUUGUUAGUAUAUCAUGACAAUAUUUAUUUGGUUGUAUCAUUCUAGAUCAGCAAGUUUGUGAUGCUGGCAGUAGGGGGCUGUGUUAGGGAUGAAGGUUGGUGUCAGUAGGGGGCUGUGUUAGGGAUGAAGGUUGGUGUCAGUAGGGGGCUGUGUUAGGGAUGAAGGUUGGUGUCAGUAGGGGGCUGUGUUAGGGAUGAAGGUUGGUGUCAGUAGGGGGCUGUGUUAGGGAUGAAGGUUGGUGUCAGUAGGGGGCUGUGUUAGGGAUGAAGGUUGGUGUCAGUAGGGGGCUGUGUUAGGGAUGAAGGUUGGUGUCAGUAGGGGGCUGUGUUAGGGAUGAAGGUUGGUGUCAGUAGGGGGCUGUGUUAGGGAUGAAGGUUGGUGUCAGUAGGGGCUGUGUUAGGGAUGCUGGCAGUAGGGGGCUGUGUUAGGGAUGAAGGUUGGUGUCAGUAGGGGGCUGUGUUAGGGAUGAAGGUUGGUGUCAGUAGGGGGCUGUGUUAGGGAUGAAGGUUGGUGUCAGUAGGGGGCUGUGUUAGGGAUGCUGGCAGUAGGGUGCUGUGUUAGGGAUGGAGGUUGGUGUCAGUAAGGGGCUGUGUUAGGGAUGAAGGUUGGUGUCAGUAGGGGGCUGUGUUAGGGAUGCUGGCAAUAGGGGGCUGUGUUAGGGAUGAAGGUUGGUGUCAGUAGGGGGCUGUGUUAGGGAUGCUGGCAAUAGGGGGCUGUGUUAGGGAUGAAGGUUGCUGGCAGUAGGGGGCUGUGUUAGGGAUGAAGGUAGUUGGCAGUAGGGGGUUGUGUUAGG